UACGUAGGGUGCGAGCGUUGUCCGGAUUUAUUGGGCGUAAAGGGCUCGUAGGCGGCGUGUCGCGUCGGGAGUGAAAGCCCUUGGCUUAACCGAGGAAGUGCAUCCGAAACUGGCGAGCUAGAGUACUAAAGAGGAUCGCGGAAUUCCCGGUGUAGAGGUGAAAUUCGUAGAUAUCGGGAGGAACGCCGGUGGCGAAGGCGGCGAUCUGGGUAGAUACUGACGCUGAGGUGCGAAAGCGUGGGGAGCAAACAGG
rnacentral:rRNA from 1 species